UACAGAGGGUGCGAGCGUUGUUCGGAAUUACUGGGCGUAAAGCGCGCGCAGGCGGCCCUUUAAGUCUGUCGGUCAAACGCCGGGGCUCAACCCCGUGCUCGCCGGAGAUACUGGAGGGCUGGAGACACGUAGAGGCAAGCGGAAUUCCGGGUGUAGCGGUGGAAUGCGUAGAGAUCCGGAAGAACACCGGAGGCGAAGGCAGCCCCCUGGGCUAACACUGACGCUCAUGCACGAAAGCGUGGGGAGCAAACAGG
rnacentral:rRNA from 1 species